GACCCAAUAACACAGUUGGUAGUGCACCAGCUUACAAUUAGUCAUUCUGAUUGGAAUAUGUAAGCUGGGGAGCCCUGUUCAAUUCAGGGUUGGGUUA